rnacentral:rRNA from 1 species
UACGUAGGGGGCAAGCGUUGUCCGGAUUUAUUGGGCGUAAAGAGCGUGUAGGCGGCUUUACAGGUCCGUUGUGAAAACUCGAGGCUCAACCUCGAGACGCCGGUGGAAACCGUAAGGCUAGAGUCCGGAAGAGGAGAGUGGAAUUCCAGGUGUAGCGGUGAAAUGCGUAGAUAUCUGGAGGAACACCGGUGGCGAAGGCGGCAUCCUGGACCGGUAUUGACGCUGAGGCGCGAAAGCUAGGGGAGCAAACGGG